rnacentral:rRNA from 1 species
AUUGAACGCUGGCGGCAGGCCUAACACAUGCAAGUCGAGCGAGCGGCGGACGGGUGAGUAAUGUCUGGGAAACUGCCUGUUGGAGGGGGAUAACUACUGGAAACGGUAGCUAAUACCGCAUACCAUCAGAUGUGCCCAGAUGGGAUUAGAUAGUAGGUGGGGUAACGGCUCACCUAGGCGACGAUCCCUAGCUGGUCUGAGAGGAUGAUCAGCCACACUGGAACUGAGACACGGUCCAGACUCCUACGGGAGGCAGCAGGGGGGAAUCUGGCACAAUGGGCGAAAGCCUGAUGCAGCCAUGCCGCGUGGGUGAAGAAGGCCUUAGGGUUGUAAAGCACUUUCAGCGGGGAGGCGUUACCCGCAGAAGAAGCACCGGCUAACUACGUGCCAGCCGCCGCGGUAAUAC